rnacentral:lncRNA from 10 species
CUGUAUUCCAUCUCUAAAAAUUCAAAAUGUAGGCCGGGCACAGUGGCUCAUGCCUGUAAUCCCAGCACUUUGGGAGGCCGAGGUGGGCAGAUCACUUGAGGUCAGGAGUUCAACAUCAGCCUAGCCAAUAUGGUGAAACCCCAUCUCUACUACUACUACUACUACUACUACUACUACUACUACUAAUAAUACAAAAAUUAGCCAGGCAUGGUGGCGCGUGCCUGUAAUCCCAGCUACUUGGGAGGCUGAGGCAGGAGAAUCGCUUGAACCUGGGAGGCAGAGGCUGCAGUCAGCUGAGAUCGCACCACUGCACUCUGGCCUGGGUGACAGAGUGAGACUCUGUCUCAAAAAAAAAAGUAGAGGGUACCCCCACAAAAAAGUUUACCUGCAUACUUCUCUUUUGUAAUUCUGUCUACCUAAAAUAUCUUCCUAAUUACAAGCCCAUAUUGAUCAUUUUCUGUAAGGCCUUCCCUAUUAUAUCACUUGAAAGUGACUCCUGUCUUAUUUUGCUUUUCUCAAACCAUGCAUAGAAGUAAGUCAUUAUUUAAACAACCUGUAAAUAUGACUUUGCUGUUUUAUAUCUGAAACAACUUACCUAUCUGAAUUCUCAGGGCAGAGACCACAUUUUUUCCAUUGAUACUCUAUAUAGUUUUGUACAUAGUUGGUACAUUACACUUGAAUGGACUAGAUCUGCAGAGAUCAGAGUCCAGAUCUCAUAUUAUUUAUCCCUUCCUAUUAGAUAUGUAAUAGGGAAUAUAAAUUACUUGUUAAUUUCACAUAUCUGCUUAGUGCUUGUUCGUGUAGGACCAAAAUCAGUCUUGAUACGUUGUCCUAUCACGAAAAUCAAGGAUAGAAACAUUCAGAAGUCAAGAUCAGUUUGCUAGAGUCACAAACAGAAAGGAAGAGAAUUUAAAAAGACAGUAAAAGGAGAGGAAACAAUUUCAUGUAUUCAGCCAGUAUAUGAGGGAAGCUAGGUAUGUGGGGAGGCUAUAUAGAAAUAUAUAUAGAAUAUCAUGGGUAGAAAAGCAUCCAUUUUUUAUAUAGCUUCUUGAAUGUUAGAGUAAUUUACAUAAAAGAAUAGUCAGUUCACUCUUCACUUUAACACUGGUUUCUAAACAACAACCUGUUUAUCAGUCAUGAUCUGAUGAAGUUUUCACAGGUUUGUAGUAACAUAAGAAAAAAUAAGGGCAAGGUAGCACGUUUCUGAUAAAAUUAAUUUCAUUCAAUAUCAAGUCCAUCAUUUUGAGAUAAUGCCUUUUACACUUUUUUUAGUAUUAAAAUAUUCUUUAUUUUACAUAAUGAUAUUUAAAGUAGUAUUCGUUCUCUUAUUGGUGCUAACUUGACAUAACAAGCUAGCAAACCAUAUAGUGGUCCCCACAAAUUUUUGGCCCCUGACAUCUAAAUG